AGACAAUGGGGAGCAGGAAAGCUCGGGGCCCACAAAGACCUUUCCCCUUUUUCCAGUGUCGGCGGGUCCUCACGUCACGGCUGCAGAUAAGAAAAAGCGUGUGUGUGGUGCCCAGCGACUACUGCUGGGAGAAUUGGUUAUCCGCUCAUCCCUGAAGAAUGACAGCUCCCCAUUGUUUUCAUUCCUUUACUCCUCCGCUGCCACGACUCCUUUCCGUACUUGCUUGGGACAGGAUAUGCUGUUUUUUUUUUUAUUUUGUUGGUCUGGGGAAUUUGGGGAGGAGCAAAGCAAUGCAAUAUCAUUAAGGGAAAUUCAAUUACAUCACUGAGAGUCUUCAAUGAGUUUGUGAGGGAGGGGGGUCAAAAGACUAACUGGGUUCUUCUAAUGCCUUUUUUCAGUGCUAUUACUGCAAAAAAAAAUCAUAAAUGCAGAUUUUGAAAAGAUGCUCAGUGACUGGAUUCUGACAGUGGGAUCCCAAGUCGAAAUAUAGAACGUGGUUUAGUGCUAAAACCAUUGUGAAGAUUGUUUGCCUCAAUUUUACCUUAGUACCUGCACUUUAUUAUGGAAUUUAUAGUAUUAUAAUUUGCAAGAGCUUGCUAAUGAUCCAAAUCUUUAAUAUUAUUUGACAUGACAAACUAGAAUGUCAAGUUUUGUAAUAAUGACUUUAAGUAUGAGUUGGUGAGGCAGCCAGAGACUGGAAUAGUGGCAGAGGUCAAUGGGAGGAGAGGGGAGGGUGGUGGGGGAUGAAGAAGGGGAGGUAUGUGAGGUGAGGGCAGGGCCAGGAUGGACUGGAAAUGUGGCCCCAGCAGCAUUUAUAAACAUGGCCCCACUACUCUGGUCGGGAUCUUUGUUUACAUACGUCCAUACGUGCGUGUUGCGCUGCGUCGCAAGCUCUCAAGACGGGACAACUUUGCCACUUCUGCAUUUCAAGGGGGAGAACUUUUUGGACCUCCAAGCAAGUCCUGUUUUGAUCUUCCAAAGCAGUCUGCACCAUUUCACCUCCAAACAUGUACAGUAGCAGCUAUUCCCGGGCCAAAUUUGGCCUGGAGGCCAAGGAGCCGUUGCACAAACCCAAAGGCAAGAGCUGUGGCUACUACAUGAGGAUUGUGUUCUUCUUCUCCUCACUCAUCCAGUCCCUCAUCAUCAUCAGCCUCGUGCUGUUCCUCAUCUACGGGCAGCCGGAGAAGUCCGCCGAGGAGAUGAGAGUCAAGGAGCUGGAGCAGGGCUUCAACAGGUUGAGUGAGAACAACAUACAGCUGAGGAAGGAGAAAGGCGAGCUGGGAGCUCAACUCGGGGCACGUACAGCUGAGAAAGAAGCACUUGCCAAACAGCUGGAGCAGCUUAUGGCCGAUGCCAACGCCACAAAGUUUUACCUGAUGACUAAAUUAGCCAACUGUGAGAGGCAGAUGACGACGCGAAACAUGGGGAUGCGCUGCCCGACUCCCCCCAUACAACAACCGGUUGCCGUCACUACUAGCAAUGAGCUGAGAACUUUACAGGGCCUCAACGCGCAGCAGAAAGCAAUGAUUGAACUCAUCAAAACCAACUUCACUCACAUGGUCCACUACCUGAGUCAGGAACGGGACAACGCCCUUAAGGACAGAGACGUCCACCACCAGGACGUCAUCUCUCUUCGCAAAGAGAACACCAUGUUCAAGGAGCAGCUCACCAUCUACACCGGGAAAUGUAAAGAGGACUUUGCUCAUUCGCUGGAUGGAAUCCAAUUGGUGACCAGGGAUUUUCUGAACAAAAUCAACAACCUGUUCCCCCACCAGCUGACCUUUCACCUCACCUGUGAAAGCCAGCAGGAGCAAGUGGAGAAGAUAAGAAACAGCUGCACCAACCUGUCCAGAGAUGUGGAGAACAAGUUUCAGCUGUAUUUGGACAAUGUGGGCAACAAGGUGGCUGAGAUCCAAUCCACGUCAAGCCGACUGGAGGUGCAAAACUCCCACUUGCGCGCUGAGCUGACGACUUGCGAACGGAACCGCAACGAGACCAUCAUCGAGACCAGCACGCAGCUGCAACUCAAGCAGACCGCUCAUGACGACAAGAUGGCCAAAGUGCUGACUGAGCAGACUGCUCUAAGAGAGCAGAAACAAUCGCUAGCGGACACUUUGGCCCGGAAAGAAAAUGAGCUGCAAACCCUCAGGGCAUUGCCCAAUUGCAAGGCGAGAUGAACAUUGUAUGGACGACGGUGUGUGAAUUUGAUAUCAAGACAUGACGAACGAGACUAAGAACGUUCUGUAACUAUACUGAUGUCACAUACACUCAUGAUUUGUUGUAAUAAAUGUGUGUAUCUCUUCAGGCUUCAGUCAGGGUCAUGUAAAAAAAAAAAAAAACUGGUGUAAAUAUUACUUGUGUGUGGUACUCACAUUGUUUCUAAACCUUGCUUUCUUUUCUGCCCUCAGAAUUGUUUUCUUGAUGUUAGAAUUGUUUGUGUACUUAAAACUGAUUUAUUUAAUGUAGACUUUAUGCUAAGAAAUGUUUUCUAUGCACGGAAGUCGUUCGGAAGCAAACCGGAAAUGUAUUCUGAAAUGCACCGGAAGUUGCGCAUAUUUCUGUUGAAGCGGCUUGACAACGAAUGCGUUCCUGGGACGUUAGCGUUACUCGCGAAUCUUUCUCCUCUCCUUUAUGCUCACGAAAUCAACGGCUGAUAUUCCAGUGGCUUUCCAUAUUGGUAGCCAAGAAAGUUAGUGCACAUCCAAAAGGUCACAGCACGCCAUCUGUGAACUUGAAGUUCAGGAUAAGAUAACAAGACAUUGUGCUGCCAUAAAACUAAGAGCACUAAGGCCUUUGAUGUGUUGGACAGCAAGUGCCACAUUUAGCUCAGAACAUCCCCUCCUUCCUUGGCUCGUCAUUUAUCGAGAAGAACAAGGAAAGGCUGACAAGAGUCGAGCGGGAAGAGGAAAAGAAAAGUCCGAGCGCAGAGACACGCAAAAGAAAGGCGCUUCUGACGCCGUUCAUAGCGAGCAAAUGUCGUCAGCGAGCAGCGAAUGGGGAAGAAGGGUGACGGGUUCAAGAAAGAAAUGUAAAUAUUUGAUCAAGGCUCGAUUGACAGGGGAACAAAAGCCACCGCGUUCAGCGCCUCAUCUUGUUCCUGUCUCACAGCCUGGAGGAGACCUGGCUCACUCCAUGUCUGCAUAGUUUUGGGUGCUUGGGCUUUUUUUGGGGGGGGGGGGCUCACAUCAAGCAACAUUUGAUUGGGAAAUGCAGAGCCAAGCUGAUCCCACAAAUAUUCAAUGAUGACAUUCCAUCCUCUCCACUCCCAAAUUCUGGAGGUAGCGUCUGAUAAACUUGCCCUGUGAGGGAGAGCAAUGUCAUUUUGGAAGUAUUUUAAUCUUGAAAGUAAAUGGUCUAAAUCCAAGUCUUGUGGUGGACAAUUUAUAUUAUAUUAUAUUAUAUUAUAUUAUAUUAUAUUUAUUAUAUCAUAGUGAAAAGGGCACCCCCACCUCCUGAUUGGCUGUUAGAACUGUGACGUCACUCGGACACUCCAUUAGGUACACCGCCAUUUUUAGGUGUACCUAAUAACAGGCCACUUCAUUAGGGAAAAAUCAUGGUCAAAGCUUCAUAGAAAGUGAAAAGUGCCACACCCGCCCUCACCCCCACCUCCUGAUUGGCUGGUUGCUCUGUGACGUCAUUUGGACACUCCCAUUAGGUACACUGCAUAAAGUGGCCUGUUAUUAGGUACACUUGAAACUGGCGCUGUACCUAAUGGAGUGUCCGUGUGAUUCCCUCGUUAAGCGCACCUGCGUGAAAAGUUUUAGCUUCUGCGGAACGUGAAAGUGGCGAAAAGUUUCACUAGCUGACCAGGAGAUGGCGACAGCGUGGCAUCUGAAGACCAUGGAUUGUUUGUUCUGCUAUAGCCUAGGUGACUGAUUCACAAUUUGGUUUUGUCUGAUAAUAGAUAUUAAAUAAAGAAAACCAACUGGCUAA